rnacentral:tRNA from 1 species
UGGGGUGUCGUCUAACGGUAGGACACCUGACUCUGGAUCAGGCAGUUGGGGUUCGAAUCCCUGCACCCCAGCCA